rnacentral:rRNA from 1 species
AAUCAACGCUGGCGGCGUGCCUCAGACAUGCAAGUCGAACGAUUAAAGCUCUCUUCGGAGAGUGUAUAGAGUGGCGCACGGGUGAGUAACACGUAAGUAAUCUACCCUCGAGUGGGGAAUAACGUCCGGAAACGGACGCUAAUACCGCAUAAUGCAGCGGCACCGCAAGGUGACAGUUGUUAAAGGAGAAAUUCGCUUGAGGAGGAGCUUGCGGCAGAUAGCUUGUUGGUAAGGUAACGGCUUACCAAGGCUACGAUCUGUAACCGGUCUUAGAGGACGGUCGGUCACACUGACACUGAAUAACGGGUCAGACUCCUACGGGAGGCAGCAGUCGGGAAUUUUGGGCAAUGGGCGAAAGCCUGACCCAGCAACGCCGCGUGAAGGAUGAAGUAUUUCGGUAU